GCUUCUAAAGGAUAAAAGUUUUCUGUUGGUCUUAGGAACCAAAGGCUCUUGGUGCAAAUCCAAGUAGUAGCU
rnacentral:tRNA from 1 species